rnacentral:rRNA from 1 species
GACGAACGCUGGCGGCGUGCUUAACACAUGCAAGUCGAACGGAAAGGCCCUGCUUUUGUGGGGUGCUCGAGUGGCGAACGGGUGGGUAACACGUGAGUAACCUGCCCUUGACUUUGGGAUAACUUCAGGAAACUGGGGCUAAUACCGGAUAGGAGCUCCUGCUGCAUGGUGGGGGUUGGAAAGUUUCGGCGGUUGGGGAUGGACUCGCGGCUUAUCAGCUUGUUGGUGGGGUAGUGGCUUACCAAGGCUUUGACGGGUAGCCGGCCUGAGAGGGUGACCGGCCACAUUGGGACUGAGAUACGGCCCAGACUCCUACGGGAGGCAGCAGUGGGGAAUAUUGCACAAUGGGCGGAAGCCUGAUGCAGCAACGCCGCGUGCGGGAUGACGGCCUUCGGGUUGUAAACCGCUUUCGCCUGUGACGAAGCGUGAGUGACGGUAAUGGGUAAAGAAGCACCGGCUAACUACG